rnacentral:lncRNA from 1 species
CUGGUUAAUCCUUUUGUCACAGUUCUCCUGUGUGUGUGUGUGUGUGUGUGUAAACUGAAUGGUAACAUUUAAUUGCUUUAUGGACCAUUGAAUUGUUGGGCAAUAAGUUUUUUUUUAAUUGGCAUGAGACAGUACUUAUACUGUCCAAUCACCUGACUUGACCAGUCCUUUGAAAGAGACUCCCAAGCAUAUGACUUUGGACCAACUCCCCUUAGGGCCAUAUAAAUGGAAAUAAUGCCCCUUCGGGUGACAUACUCUCAAAGUGUUUGCUAUUUUCACAAACAUAAAUGCCCAUGUUCUUAAUAUCUGCUCUUUUUUGACCAGUCAUGUUUUGUGCUGUCAUCUGAACCCUAGAGAAGCAGUGUAAGAGGAAACCUUGCUGCCACGUGUGUUUUGGCCAAAAGGUCCAUAUGAUAAGAGGGUCAUGUGACCACAAGAAGCUCCAGAAAAAGCAAAGCGUGAGAACUUGCUUCAGCCUGUGGGGGGAGGGUUGGAGAUACAGAAAACACUCUGCUCUACAGGAGUUUUCCACAAUGUCUAUGUAGGAAAUUCCGUUUUCUCUUUCAACACCCAGGAAGAUUUCAGCUGCCCGCUGAGGCUGACAGGCAAUUCACUAAGCACAAGAAGAAUUUUUUUCCAACCACGGAGUCCCUUGCCUCUCAAAGAAAUGCCCUCCAAGUUUGUUAUGGUUUCUAUUCCUGCAACUUGUGGUAUCAGAGCCACUUCCUGGAAUUGUAAAAGUGCUGCCAGAAUAAAUGUUUUUCCCCUUCUAAGAAAAGAAAAAAAAUGACAGUGCUCAUAUUUGACACUUGUGCAUUGGACUCUCUUUUUGAAUGAAUAAAGAGGAAAGGGUUUGAUGUGAUUCCUGAUGGAGUGUGUGAUGUUUUUCAUGCCACAGUCUGUGAAUUGUAAUUGUGGUUUCUCAGUUCACUGUGGUAUUUGGGCAGAAAUUUAAAA